GCCCCUGUAGCUCAGUUGGUAGAGCAGCUGUCUUGUAAACAGCAGGUCGCGGGUUCGACUCCUGUCGGGGGCU
rfam:Kytococcus sedentarius DSM 20547, complete genome.